rnacentral:rRNA from 1 species
ACUCAAAUGAAUUGACGGGGGCCCGCACAAGCAGUGGAGCAUGUGGUUUAAUUCGAAGCAACGCGAAGAACCUUACCAGCCCUUGACAUGGCAGGACGGUUUCCAGAGAUGGAUUCCUUCACUUCGGUGACCUGCACACAGGUGCUGCAUGGCUGUCGUCAGCUCGUGUCGUGAGAUGUUGGGUUAAGUCCCGCAACGAGCGCAACCCUCGCCUUUAGUUGCCAUCAUUUAGUUGGGCACUCUAGAGGGACUGCCGGUGAUAAGCCGGAGGAAGGUGGGGAUGACGUCAAGUCUUCAUGGCCCUUACGGGCUGGGCUACACACGUGCUACAAUGGCGGUGACAGAGGGCAGCUAGUCCGCGAGGACAUGCUAAUCCCUAAAAGCCGUCUCAGUUCGGAUUGCACUCUGCAACUCGAGUGCAUGAAGUUGGAAUUGCUAGUAAUCGCAGAUCAGCACGCUGCGGUGAAUACGUUCCCGGGCCUUGUACACACCGCCCGU